rnacentral:rRNA from 1 species
AACGAACGCUGGCGGCGUGCCUAACACAUGCAAGUCGAGCGAGAAAGUCCGCAAGGAUGAGUACAGCGGCGCACGGGUGCGUAACACGUGGGUAAUCUGCCCUGAAGCCCGGAAUAACCUCCCGAAAGGGAAGCUAAUGCCGGAUAAGACCACGGGAGCCUCGGCCCCUGCGGGAAAAGGUGGCCUCUGUACACAAGCUAUCACUGCAGGAUGAGCCCGAGGCCCAUCAGCUCGUUGGCGGGGUAACGGCCCACCAAGGCUACGACGGGUAGCUGGUCUGAGAGGACGAUCAGCAACACUGGAACUGAGAACCGGUCCAGACGCCUACGGGAUGCAGCAGUGGGGAAUCUUGCGCAAUGGGCGAAAGCCUGACGCAGCAACGCCGCGUGUGUGAUGAAGGUCUUCGGAUCGUAAAGCACUGUCGGGAGGAAAGAACAAGCCUGUGGCUAACAUCCACGGGCCUUGACGGUACCUCCAAAGGAAGCACCGGCUAACUCUGUGCCAGCCGCCGCAGUAAUAC